CGAACGAAGUAGCAAUACUUAGUGGCAGACGGGUGAGUAACAUGUAGGUAUCUGCCCUUUGGCCUGGAAUAACACGAGGAAACUUGUGCUAAUACUGGAUAAGUCUUUACGGAGAAAGCUUUAUGCACCAUUGGAUGAGCCUGCACUUGAUUAGUUUGUUGGUGGGGUAAUGGCCUACCAAGACUUUGAUCAAUAGCUGAUUUGAGAGGAUGAUCAGCCACAUUGGGACUGAGACACGGCCCAAACUCCUACGGGAGGCAGCAGUGGGGAAUCUUGCACAAUGGAGGAAACUCUGAUGCAGCGAUGCCGCGUGAGUGAAGAAGGCCUUUGGGUUGUAAUGCUCUUUCGUCGGGGAAGAAAAUGACUGUACCCGAAUAAGAAGGUCCGGCUAACUUCGUGCCAGCAGCCGCGGUAAUACGAAGGGACCUAGCGUAGUUCGGAAUUACUGGGCUUAAAGAGUUCGUAGGUGGUUAAAAAAGUUGGUGGUGAAAUCCCAGAGCUUAACUCUGGAACUGCCAUCAAAACUUUUCAGCUAGAGUAUGAUAGAGGAAAGCAGAAUUUCUAGUGUAGAGGUGAAAUUCGUAGAUAUUAGAAAGAAUACCAAUUGCGAAGGCAGCUUUCUGGAUCAUUACUGACACUGAGGAACGAAAGCAUGGGUAGCGAAGAGGAU
rnacentral:rRNA from 1 species